GGUGGAUGCCCUGGCAGUCAGAGGCGAUGAAGGACGUGCUACGCUGCGAAAAGCGUCGGUAAGGUGAUAUGCACCGUUAUAACCGGCGAUGUCCGAAUGGGGAAACCCAGUGCACUUCGUUGCACUCUCGUUAACUGAAUACAUAGGUUAACGAGGCGAACCGGGGGAACUGAAACAUCUAAGUACCCCGAGGAAAAGAAAUCAACCGAGAUUCCCCCAGUAGCGGCGAGCGAACGGGGAGCAGCCCAGAGUCUGAAUCAGCUUGUGUGUUAGUGGAACGGUCUGGAAAGUCCGACGGUACAGGGUGAUAGUCCCGUACACCAAAAUGCACAGGCUGUGAACUCGAAGAGUAGGGCGGGACACGUGGUAUCCUGUCUGAAUAUGGGGGGACCAUCCUCCAAGGCUAAAUACUCCUGACUGACCGAUAGUGAACCAGUACCGUGAGGGAAAGGCGAAAAGAACCCCGGCGAGGGGAGUGAAAAAGAACCUGAAACCGUGUACGUACAAGCAGUGGGAGCACCUUCGGGUGUGACUGCGUACCUUUUGUAUAAUGGGUCAGCGACUUAUAUUCUGUAGCAAGGUUAACCGUAUAGGGGAGCCGCAGGGAAACCGAGUCUUAACUGGGCGUUAAGUUGCAGGGUAUAGACCCGAAACCCGGUGAUCUAGCCAUGGGCAGGUUGAAGGUUGGGUAACACUAACUGGAGGACCGAACCGACUAAUGUUGAAAAAUUAGCGGAUGACUUGUGGCUGGGGGUGAAAGGCCAAUCAAACCGGGAGAUAGCUGGUUCUCCCCGAAAGCUAUUUAGGUAGCGCCUCGUGAAUUCAUCUUCGGGGGUAGAGCACUGUUUCGGCUAGGGGGUCAUCCCGACUUACCAACCCGAUGCAAACUACGAAUACCGAAGAAUGUUAUCACGGGAGACACACGGCGGGUGCUAACGUCCGUCGUGAAGAGGGAAACAACCCAGACCGCCAGCUAAGGUCCCAAAGUCAUGGUUAAGUGGGAAACGAUGUGGGAAGGCACAGACAGCCAGGAUGUUGGCUUAGAAGCAGCCAUCAUUUAAAGAAAGCGUAAUAGCUCACUGGUCGAGUCGGCCUGCGCGGAAGAUGUAACGGGGCUAAACCAUGCACCGAAGCUGCGGCAGCGACACUAUGUGUUGUUGGGUAGGGGAGCGUUCUGUAAGCCUGCGAAGGUGUGCUGUGAGGCAUGCUGGAGGUAUCAGAAGUGCGAAUGCUGACAUAAGUAACGAUAAAGCGGGUGAAAAGCCCGCUCGCCGGAAGACCAAGGGUUCCUGUCCAACGUUAAUCGGGGCAGGGUGAGUCGACCCCUAAGGCGAGGCCGAAAGGCGUAGUCGAUGGGAAACAGGUUAAUAUUCCUGUACUUGGUGUUACUGCGAAGGGGGGACGGAGAAGGCUAUGUUAGCCGGGCGACGGUUGUCCCGGUUUAAGCAUGUAGGCUGGUUGUCCAGGCAAAUCCGGAUAAUCAAGGCUGAGGUGUGAUGACGAGGCACUACGGUGCUGAAGUAACAAAUGCCCUGCUUCCAGGAAAAGCCUCUAAGCAUCAGGUAACAUUAAAUCGUACCCCAAACCGACACAGGUGGUCAGGUAGAGAAUACCAAGGCGCUUGAGAGAACUCGGGUGAAGGAACUAGGCAAAAUGGUGCCGUAACUUCGGGAGAAGGCACGCUGGUGUGUAGGUGAAGUCCCUGCGGAUGGAGCUGAGACCAGUCGAAGAUACCAGCUGGCUGCAACUGUUUAUUAAAAACACAGCACUGUGCAAACACGAAAGUGGACGUAUACGGUGUGACGCCUGCCCGGUGCCGGAAGGUUAAUUGAUGGGGUUAUCCGUAAGGAGAAGCUCUUGAUCGAAGCCCCGGUAAACGGCGGCCGUAACUAUAACGGUCCUAAGGUAGCGAAAUUCCUUGUCGGGUAAGUUCCGACCUGCACGAAUGGCGUAAUGAUGGCCAGGCUGUCUCCACCCGAGACUCAGUGAAAUUGAACUCGCUGUGAAGAUGCAGUGUACCCGCGGCAAGACGGAAAGACCCCGUGAACCUUUACUAUAGCUUGACACUGAACAUUGAGCCUUGAUGUGUAGGAUAGGUGGGAGGCUUUGAAGCGUGGACGCCAGUCUGCGUGGAGCCAACCUUGAAAUACCACCCUUUAAUGUUUGAUGUUCUAACGUUGGCCCCUUACCGGGGUUGCGGACAGUGUCUGGUGGGUAGUUUGACUGGGGCGGUCUCCUCCCAAAGCGUAACGGAGGAGCACGAAGGUUAGCUAAUCCUGGUCGGACAUCAGGAGGUUAGUGCAAUGGCAUAAGCUAGCUUGACUGCGAGCGUGACGGCGCGAGCAGGUGCGAAAGCAGGUCAUAGUGAUCCGGUGGUUCUGAAUGGAAGGGCCAUCGCUCAACGGAUAAAAGGUACUCCGGGGAUAACAGGCUGAUACCGCCCAAGAGUUCAUAUCGACGGCGGUGUUUGGCACCUCGAUGUCGGCUCAUCACAUCCUGGGGCUGAAGUAGGUCCCAAGGGUAUGGCUGUUCGCCAUUUAAAGUGGUACGCGAGCUGGGUUUAGAACGUCGUGAGACAGUUCGGUCCCUAUCUGCCGUGGGCGCUGGAGAAUUGAGGGGGGCUGCUCCUAGUACGAGAGGACCGGAGUGGACGCAUCACUGGUGUUCGGGUUGUCAUGCCAAUGGCACUGCCCGGUAGCUAAAUGCGGAAGAGAUAAGUGCUGAAAGCAUCUAAGCACGAAACUUGCCCCGAGAUGAGUUCUCCCUGAGACUUUAAGUCUCCUGAAGGAACGUUAAAGACGAUGACGUUGAUAGGCCGGGUGUGUAAGCGCAGCGAUGCGUUGAGCUAACCGGUACUAAU
rnacentral:rRNA from 1 species